AGCUCAGUGGAUAGAGCGUCAGGUUCCGGUCCUCGUAGGUCGGGGGUUCGAGUCCCUCC
rnacentral:tRNA from 1 species